rnacentral:tmRNA from 1 species
GGGGGCGUAACGGCUUCGACUAGGUAAAAGACACGAAUAGUGCAAGCAGUCUCAGGAAACAGCAGACUUUAAGUGUGGUUUCAAAAAAUAAUUGCUAAUAACAAUAAUUUCUACAACAACGCUGCAUUAGCAGCAUAGUAGGGAGGUCGCUCAAAAACCUUCUAUCCAAUUUGAGUAUUUAUCGCAACAGGGUGGUGAGCGAUAUCUUAAAGCCACCAAAUCAUAUCUGAUUCAAAGGUUAGUGCCGGCAACGGUGGGAUCAGAUUAAACUAUCCGAUUUUUUUCAGUUUCGUUGCAGGUGUUCUUUGGUGAGCAUCAAAACUGAACAAGCUUGUGAAUGACUUGAAAUAGAAUUUAUCUAGGACGCGGGUUCGACUCCCGCCGCCUCCACCA